UCGAUUCCCUUAGUAGCGGCGAGCGAAACGGGAAGAGCCCAAACCAACAAGCUUGCUUGUUGGGGUUGUAGGACACUCUAUACGGAGUUACAAAGGACGACAUUAGACGAAUCAUCUGGAAAGAUGAAUCAAAGAAGGUAAUAAUCCUGUAGUCGAAAAUGUUGUCUCUCUUGAGUGGAUCCUGAGUACGACGGAGCACGUGAAAUUCCGUCGGAAUCUGGGAGGACCAUCUCCUAAGGCUAAAUACUCUCUAGUGACCGAUAGUGAACCAGUACCGUGAGGGAAAGGUGAAAAGCACCCCGGAAGGGGAGUGAAAUAGAACCUGAAACCGUGUGCUUACAAGUAGUCAGAGCCCGUUAAUGGGUGAUGGCGUGCCUUUUGUAGAAUGAACCGGCGAGUUACGAUUUGAUGCAAGGUUAAGCAGUAAAUGUGGAGCCGUAGCGAAAGCGAGUCUGAAUAGGGCGUUUAGUAUUUGGUCGUAGACCCGAAACCAGGUGAUCUACCCUUG
rnacentral:rRNA from 1 species